UUCCGGUUGAUCCCGCCGGAGGCUACCGCUAUUGGAGUUCGAUUAAGCCAUGCGAGUCGAGAGUCUUAGGGACUCGGCGCACCGCUCAGUAACACGUGGGUAACCUGCCCUAUGCUGGGGGAUAACCUCGGGAAACUGAGAAUAAUACCCCAUAGUUCACCACGCCUGGAACGGUGGGUGGACCAAAGCUCCGGCGGCAUAGGAUGGGCCUGCGACGUAUCAGGUUGUAGGGGGUGUAACGUACCCUCUAGCCAUCAACGCGUACGGGUGUUGGGAGACAUAGCCCGGAGAUGGAUUCUGAGACACGAAUCCAGACCCUACGGGGUGCAGCAGGCGCGAAAACUUGGCAAUGCGAGAAAUCGUGACCAGGGAACUCCAAGUGCAUCGGGUAAGACCGAUGCUUUUCUUGACUCUUCAAAGGUCUUGGAAUAAGGGGUGGGUAAGGACGGUGCCAGCCGCCGCGGUAAUACCGGCGCCCCAAGUGGUAGUCGCUUUUAUUGGGCCUAAAACGUCCGUAGCCGGUCUGGUACAUUCGUGGGUAAAUCAACCAGCUCAACUGGUUGAAUUCUGCGAGCACGGCCAGACUUGGGACCGGGAGAGGUGUGGGGUACUCUCAGGGUAGGGGUAAAAUCCUGUCAUCCUGAGGGGACCACCUGUUGCGAAGGCGCCACACUAGAACGGAUCCGACGGUCAGGGACGAAGCCUAGGGGCACGAACCGGAUUAGAUACCCGGGUAGUCCUAGGUGUAAACGCUGUGGACUUGAUGUUGGGGGCGCUCCGAGCGCACUCAGUGUCGAAGCGAAGGUGAUAAGUCCACUGCCUGGGGAGUACGGUCGCAAGGCUGAAACUUAAAGGAAUUGGCGGGGGAGCACCGCAACCUGAGGAUUGUGCGGUUUAAUUGGAUUCAACGCCGGA
rnacentral:rRNA from 1 species